rnacentral:rRNA from 1 species
AUACUUGUAAAGGAACUCGGCAAACUGUCUUCAUAAGUUAGACGAUAUGAAGAACCAUUAAAUAUUUAUAACCCUUUCAGGUAGUCUUUUAGAUUACCUGUUAGUUUCCCUGUUGUCCUAGUCUCUGCCCUAGCCUUCUGGGCUGGGUGUGGCCAGGUCGCAGUGAUAUUAAAUAUGUAAGAAUGGUGGCACAAAAUCGGAGGCCCCGACUGUUUACCUAAAACACAGCUUUCUGCUACGAAUAAUAUUCUGUGUAUAGAAAGCGAAUUUUGCCCAAUGCCAUUAAUAUAAGGUUGAUAAGCGCAUAGCGUAUUUAUUAACUGAAGUUCUGGUCAAUGGCGGUCUUAUCUAUGAGGAUCCUAAGGUAGCAAAAUUAAUUGUCCAUUAAAUGUGGUCCUGACUGAAUAAAGUAACGAUGGUCUCACUGUCUCUACAAGUAUCUCAGUGAAAUUGAAUUAGCCGUGCAGAUGCGGUUUAACUUCG